CUGCCCGUAGCAGGGGGAUAAGCGGAAGAAAUUCCGUCUAAUACCGCGUAACAACCCGAGGAGGCAUCUCCUUGGGUUUAAAGGAAGCGAUUCCGGCUACGGAUGGUCAUGCGUCGCAUUAGCUAGUUGGCGGGGUAACGGCCCACCAAGGCGACGAUGCGUAGGGGUUCUGAGAGGAAGGUCCCCCACACUGGUACUGAGACACGGACCAGACUCCUACGGGAGGCAGCAGUGAGGAAUAUUGGUCAAUGGCCGCAGGGCUGAACCAGCCAAGUCGCGUGAGGGAUGACGGUCCUAUGGAUUGUAAACCUCUUUUGUCAGGGAGCAAAGGGCGCCACGUGUGGUGUUUUGCGAGUACCUGAAGAAAAAGCAUCGGCUAACUCCGUGCCAGCAGCCGCGGUAAUACGGAGGAUGCGAGCGUUAUUCGGAUUUAUUGGGUUUAAAGGGUGCGCAGGCGGAAUGUCAAGUCAGCGGUAAAAUUUCGGGGCUCAACCCCGUCGUGCCGUUGAAACUGGCGUUCUUGAGUGAGCGAGAAGUAUGCGGAACGCGUGGUGUAGCGGUGAAAUGCAUAGAUAUCACGCAGAACUCCGAUUGCGAAGGCAGCAUACCGGCGCUCAACCGACGCUCAUGCACGAAAGCGUGGGUAUCGAACAGGAUUAGAUACCCUGGUAGUCCACGCAGUAAACGAUGA
rnacentral:rRNA from 1 species